rnacentral:rRNA from 1 species
AUUGAACGCUGGCGGCAGGCCUAACACAUGCAAGUCGAGCGAGCCGCGGACGGGUGAAUAAUGUCUGGGAAACUGCCUGAUGGAGGGGGAUAACAACUGGAAGCUGUAGCUUAUACCGCAUACCAGCAGAUGUGCCCAGAUGGGAUGAGAGAGGAGGUGGGGUAAUGGCUCACCGAGGCGACGAUCCCUAGCGGGUCUGAGAGGAAGACCAGCAACACUGGAACUGAGACACGGUCCAGACUCCUACGGGAGGCAGCAGUGGGGAAUAUUGCACAAGGGGCGCAAGCCUGAUGCAGCCAUGCCGCGUGUGUGAAGAAGGCCUUCGGGUUGUAAAGCACUUUCAGCGAGGAGGCGUUACUCGCAGAAGAAGCACCGGCUAACUCCGUGCCAGCAGCCGCGGUAAUAC